AAGAGUGACGUCCAGAGCUCUGCUGGAGCUGUGGGGAAGUUCAUGAAUGUUACAGCUGAUGUUUCAGAAAAAAGGAAGAUGUUUGAGAAUCAACAAAACACAGACCACAGAUGAACAAAGUGAUGUGGCAUUAGGAGACUUUAUACCAGAUGCCCUCCCUGUUACUGUGUUUAGAGGAAGAAAAGCAGCACAUGGCAGAGACCAGAGCUUCUUCACUGGAAUAAAUCUUCACACUGUCCAGCUCCAAACUGUGUGUCUCUGUCCCUGUGCUCUCUUUGUGUUUGAUUCUGUUUAAGACAAUACAGAUCUGUAGAAAACUAAA